GACGAACGCUGGCGGCGUGCCUAAUACAUGCAAGUCGAACGCACUCUCGUUUAGAUUGAAGGAGCUUGCUCCUGAUUGAUAAACAUUUGAGUGAGUGGCGGACGGGUGAGUAACACGUGGGUAACCUGCCCUAAAGUGGGGGAUAACAUUUGGAAACAGAUGCUAAUACCGCAUAAAACCUAAACACCGCAUGGUGUAGGUUGAAAGAUGGUUUCGGCUAUCACUUUAGGAUGGACCCGCGGUGCAUUAGUUAGUUGGUGAGGUAAAGGCUCACCAAGACCGUGAUGCAUAGCCGACCUGAGAGGGUAAUCGGCCACACUGGGACUGAGACACGGCCCAGACUCCUACGGGAGGCAGCAGUAGGGAAUCUUCCACAAUGGACGAAAGUCUGAUGGAGCAACGCCGCGUGAGUGAAGAAGUUUCGGAUCGUAAAACUCUAGUGUUUGGGAGAAAGGUAAUAGGUUAAUCUGAUAGUAACUGAUCAGGUAGUGACGGUAUCCAACC
rnacentral:rRNA from 1 species